rnacentral:rRNA from 1 species
UACGAACCGUACAAACGUUAUUCGGAAUCACUGGGCUUAAAGGGUGCGUAGGCGGCCAUGUAAGUGAGGUGUGAAAUCCCUCGGCUCAACCGAGGAACGGCGCUUCAUACUGCAUGGCUUGAGGGAGACAGGGGUAAGCGGAACUGAUGGUGGAGCGGUGAAAUGCGUUGAUAUCAUCAGGAACACCGGUGGCGAAAGCGGCUUACUGGGUCUCUUCUGACGCUGAGGUACGAAAGCUAGGGUAGCGAACGGG